GUCACCAGCGUCUCACUUUUCGUAAUGAUGCUUAUCUGUCUGUGGAGAAACCCCCAAGAUAAACGUGAAUCUUCAGCUGUGCUGUAUACUGCGACAAUCAACAAAGACACAUGCAGAAUAAAAGGUCCUCUCCAGAGGGGGCGCUCCUCCGUAUUCUCCACUGUGGCUGUAUACAGACCUGUCCUCAGACCCGGAUUCACUCGGGGAAGAGUCGUGACUUAUAAAGCCCACAGACAGGACGGGAACAAAGGGCAAACCUUUUCAUGUUCGUGCAGAAAAUAUGACUCGACUUUAAACUGGAGUAAUUAAGACCAAAUGUUGAAUAGAUUACA